AUACUUUGCCAUAUAUCUUUGCUUGUUAUCAUUUUCUAUUGGUGAAAUGUCAUUCCCUAAGCAGAUGUUUGCGUCUGAUCUCUCCAUUUAGAGUCAGCCUCAUAGGCAGAAAGUUUCUUUAUUCCCCACUGAGUUAUGUCCUCGUGGAUGAUUAUUGCUUCAGUUUCCUCCCCAAUUAUGUACUGGGAUGGAAUUACUCCCUUGAGUUAUAUCCUUAUCGGGUCGAGUCUUGUUU
rnacentral:lncRNA from 1 species